AGGAGCCAGGCAGGGGCUGCUGUGACCAGAGGCAGGGCCCCGAGGGGCUGGGGGAGUCUGUGUUGAGCAUCCCUGGGAUGAGGGCACAUUUCCUUCAGUGGCAUCACCUGGGCCUGGACCUCCUCCAAUGCCAUGCCCAGGAAAAGAGGCAACCAUCAAGAGCAUCUCCUGGGACACUGCCUGACCAGCAAUGUCAGCAGGCAAAACCAAGGUUUUGUUUAGCAAUGACCCUUUGAUGAAGUCAAAGAUUCACAGUCAGAGCAGUCCUCUAGUACAGAUGGGAGUACACUUGGGGCAGACAUCUAAGGCCAUGAGGUCACAGAAGGCUCUGGGGUGACAGCAGGCUGAGGUGACAGCAGGCUCUGAGGUCACAGAGGUCCCAGAGCCCCGUGGUUGCCCAGCACCACAAGGACCGAGCAGUCAGUCCUUGACCACGACUGUUGUGGCAGCAGCGGCGGCGGCAGCAGCGGUGCUGACAUUGGGACAGCGGUGUCAGGACAGUGGUGGCAGCAAGAGCUGCAGGACUGGCAGUGGGCAAGGCACCAUGGCCUUUGCUCUGCGCCUCCUCCUCCUGCUCCUCCUGGCAGUGGCCCUGCCUGACAGGGCUGCCCAGGCUGCUCCGUGGCGAGCAGGGCGAGCAGAUGAGGGUGGUAGGAAGGCUUCUCCAGCAGCUUGGCUUCAUGAAGAUUUUCUGCCUCUGGAGCCCCAUGCAGGUGUGUCUGCAGCAAGGACAUUUCAAGCUCCUUUUCUGGUUGCUGCACGCAAGCCCAGCUCCCAUCACAGGGGUGAGUGGUGUGUCCCUGCUGAUCCCACAGGCUGAGCCCUGGUUCUG